rnacentral:rRNA from 1 species
AGUGAACGCUGGCGGUAGGCCUAACACAUACAAGUCGAACGGCAGCACAGUAAGAGCUUGCUCUUACGGGUGGCGAGUGGCGGACGGGUGAGGAAUACAUCGGAAUCUACUUUUUCGUGGGGGAUAACGUAGGGAAACUUACGCUAAUACCGCAUACGACCUACGGGUGAAAGCAGGGGAUCUUCGGACCUUGCGCGAUUGAAUGAGCCGAUGUCGGAUUAGCUAGUUGGCGGGGUAAAGGCCCACCAAGGCGACGAUCCGUAGCUGGUCUGAGAGGAUGAUCAGCCACACUGGAACUGAGACACGGUCCAGACUCCUACGGGAGGCAGCAGUGGGGAAUAUUGGACAAUGGGCGCAAGCCUGAUCCAGCAAUACCGCGUGGGUGAAGAAGGCCUUCGGGUUGUAAAGCCCUUUUGUUGGGAAAGAAAAGCAGCAGGUUAAUACCCCGCUGUUCUGACGGUACCCAAAGAAUAAGCACCGGCUAACUUCGUG